rnacentral:rRNA from 1 species
UACGGAGGGUGCAAGCGUUAUCCGGAUUCACUGGGCUUAAAGGGUGCGUAGGCGGGUUGGUAAGUCCGUGGUGAAAUCCCCAAGCUUAACUUGGGAACUGCCGUGGAUACUAUCAAUCUUGAAUAUCGUGGAGGUAAGCGGAAUAUGUCAUGUAGCGGUGAAAUGCUUAGAUAUGACAUAGAACACCAAUUGCGUAGGCAGCUUACUACACGAUCAUUGACGCUGAGGCACGAAAGCGUGGGGAGCAAACAGG